rnacentral:rRNA from 1 species
AACGAACGCUGGCGGCAGGCCUAAUACAUGCAAGUCGAACGGGCGUAGCAAUACGUCAGUGGCGGACGGGUGAGUAACACGUGGGAACAUGCCUUUCGGUUCGGAAUAACGCAGGGAAACUUGCGCUAAUACCGGAUGACCCGGCGACGGAAAAGAUUUAUCGCCGAAAGAUUGGCCCGCGUAGGAUUAACUAGUUGGUGAGGUAACGGCCCACCAAGGCGACGAUCCUUAGCUGGUUUGAGAGAACGAUCAGCCACACUGGGACUGAGACACGGCCCAGACUCCUACGGGAGGCAGCAGUAGGGAAUCUUGGACAAUGGGGGAAACCCUGAUCCAGCCAUGCCGCGUGAGUGAUGAAGGCCUUCGGUUGUAAAC